rnacentral:rRNA from 1 species
AAAUUGAAGAGUUUGAUCAUGGCUCAGAUUGAACGCUGGCGGCAGGCCUAACACAUGCAAGUCGAGCGGAAACGGCAGCAUUGAAGCUUCGGUGGAUUUGCUGGACGUCGAGCGGCGGACGGGUGAGUAACGGCUGGGAACCUGCCCUGACGAGGGGGAUAACCGUUGGAAACGACGGCUAAUACCGCAUAA